rnacentral:rRNA from 1 species
CAAUAGCGUAUAUUAAAGUUGUUGCGGUAAAAAAGCUCGUAGUUGGAUUUCUGUUGAGAGCGACCGGUCCAUACCAUGUAUGCGUAUCUGGCUUGCUCUCGGCAUCCUCUCGAUAGACGUUACUGCGCUUGAUUGCGUGGUGCGGAUCUCGGGACUUUUACUUUGAGGAAAUUAGAGUGUUCACGGCAGGCUUCCGCCAGAAUACAUUAGCAUGGAAUAAUACUAUAGGAUCUUGGUUCUAUUUUGUUGGUUUCUAGAAUUGAGAUAAUGAUUAAUAGGGACAAUUGGGGGCAUUCGUAUCAACACGUCAGAGGUGGAAUUCUUGGAUUGUGUUGCGACGAACUACUGCGAAAGCAUUUGCCAAGGAUGUUUUCAUUGA